rnacentral:rRNA from 1 species
AUGGCCGCAAAACUUGAACAAUCUUCUCCUGCCCGACAACCAAAGCCUGUCAUGUCACCAUCUUUACCUCCCAAGCUGUCAAUGUUCGGGGCAAAAGCUGGAUUCGUCAUACCAAAAAACAAGAUACCAGGCUCAAUGAUUAUCCGCAAGGUUGAAGCACCAACUGUCCCCAAGGAAGAGAACCCUAAACCUCUCAAAAGAAACACAAAGUGGGGGCCUGAUCUUACCUCCGAUCCUGCCGUCAGGAAAGCCAAAGCUCUUGCUUACCAGACUAGAGUGGAGCAGAUUACAAAGGAGCUGACAUCUGGAGCUCUAGUGAUAGGAGGAAACGAAGGCUCAUUGAUUACGGUGAAGGGUUCAAGUUCUGAUGGUGCUGACAAUCCAAAAGAGAAUGAGGGGAAGAUUAAACUCUUGGAACUUGAAAAACGGGAAAUUAUUGGAGAAAUACUCCAACUAAAUCCAGCAUACAAGGCUCCUGAUGACUACAAGCCAUUACUUAAGGAGACAAAAAUCCCUCUGCCUACAGAAGCACAUCCAGGACAAAACAUCAUUGGAAUUCUUAUAGGACCUGAGAGAAAUACCCAGAAGCGACUGCAGGAGGAAACUGGAGCUAAAAUACGAGUUUACGGGACUAAGAAAGGCAGUGGUGAAAAGGCUGAGGUUCGCCAGCCAGAUAUACAUGAAGCGCAAGCUGCUUAUGGGGACAUAUACAUACAUGUGUCAGCUGACUCUUAUGACAAAGUUGAUGCUGCAGUUGCGUUGAUUGAGAUGCUUCUUACUCCUGUCUCAGUAAAUUCAACAGAUACUCCAGAAACAGCUAUUGUUUCUUCGGCAGUUACCUCUAGUGGUGUAAACCCAGCUGAUAUGCAACAGGGGCAGAGCACCACUUCUCAGCCUGGCUUAUUUCAGUACCAAUCACAUAGUGCUCAUUGGCUUUCCAUUUCUCAAACCAGUGCUCCAUCAAUUCCUUCCUCAGGGCCUACACCGAGCUCAUUACCCAACAAUUCUUUGCAGCUGCAACCUCCUGUUGGUUCUUUCAGCAUGCCACCAUAUACAGGACAACCUCCUCACAUGAAUUUUAUGCCAAGAAACACACCACUUUUUCCUGGAUUUCAGCCAUCAAUGCCGAACAAUCAACAACCUUCACAGCAGUUCCAAGUCAACCCCUCCAUUGGACCACCUUUUGGCCAACCACCUGGAAAUGCUUACAACCCACAACCAUUGACAUCUUCCGCAGCGCCACUGCCUGUUAGACCCCUUCAAACACCCCAUGCGUCUGGAGGAUGGCCAACUUUCUCCCCUGCUAUGGCACAAUCCCAGAGACCUUCACAAGGUGCACCAAGUUUUAUGCCAAUGAGACCUCCUAUUUCUGUCUCGCCAGUUCCAUCGGCGCCUUCUCAGUCAAAUAUGUCCACCAGCUAUGGAACUCAGAAUCCACCAAGAGCAAACUUCACUCCUUCAGCAACAUUACAUUCCAGGCCUCCUGGUGGCCCCCAGUCUUUUCCUCCAGUUUCAUCUCAUGGUCCUAUGUCGGUGCAAGUACUAUCAUCUCCUGUUGGGGCGCCACCGCAGCAAACUUACCCGCCAUCGAUGCAAAUGCGUCCUCCCAUGUCAACACCUCCUCAAAUGAGAGGCACACUUUCACCUUUCCCUCAAGCUGGACCAACACCUGGCAAUGCACAAGUGGCACCUUCAUCGCGCCCGCCUGCUGGUAUGCACGGAUUGUCUUUCUCAAGUUCAGCAAACACGGGCUACAAUCAGACAUCUAUAGCUGCUUUCAGACCUCCACGUCCAGCCACAGGCGAUUUUACCUUUAGGCCUCACGUGCCACCUUCGGCGGACCAUCCAGCUUCAGCGGGACAAAUGGGAGCUCAGGCUAACUCUCCGUUUGGUUUACCUCAAGCACCGCAGUUCCGUCCUGCCAACCAUAGCCCCAUUUCCCCAGUUCAAGGUUUCCAAAGGCCUCCAGAUGGAAGCCAUAUGGGUCAGGCUCGGAUGCAUGCUCCACCUCCACACUUCCACGGGACCUUCCCUGGGAAUCCACCUGCUCAUGAAUCACCUAACGGGUUUCGACCAUUUCCUCCAGCAAAUCCAUCAAACAGAAUGCCGUUUCAUUUCUUGCCACCACAGCAGAAUCCAUUUCCAGCUGCAAACAGGCAAGGUGGCCCAAAUCCGAUAUACGAUCCUUUCGCGCCAACAUCCGUGUCAGGGGGGAGCAAAGAAGGCGGCGGCUGA